CCCUCCUUUGCCGAACCCAAGCUGCCCUUUUUGGUCGAACUCUAGCCUUCUUGGUCGAAGCCACCAAAUGGAAGGGUUGAAAAAAAAAAGAUGAUGAAGAUAAGGAAUGUGUGGUGUAAAGAUACCAACAUGUAUUUAUGCAUGACGUCAACGAAGCCUCAAAACUCUGAGCCCUGCUGCAACAUGGUAGCGGUAGAAUAUUUAUGAGCAUGGCCGAGACCUGCUUGACCGAACCCUCCUUAAAAAAAAGUAAACUUACCCAUAUCCUUGUUGAAUGGGUUGUAGAAAUUCUUUGAAGACAAAGAAGAUUCUGAUGCUUUUUCAGUACUGCAACCCCUUUUGAACCCUACCUUCCAUGGCCGAAUCCUAGAUCUUCCUUGUCCGAGCCUCUCGUUCUACGAAGUCAUAAUGGCCGAGCCCUGCUUGACCGAACCCUCCUUACUUCUGAAGGGCCCGAACCCUCCUUGUUCCGAACCCUACUAUAAUAGAGUAAUAGUAAUAUACUAUUGAGGUGCUUGAAAUUAAAAGGG
rnacentral:lncRNA from 1 species